GAUGAACGCUGGCGGCGUGCCUAAUACAUGCAAGUCGAGCGAACAGAUGAGGAGCUUGCUCCUCUGACGUUAGCGGCGGACGGGUGAGUAACACGUGGAUAACCUACCUAUAAGACUGGGAUAACUUCGGGAAACCGGAGCUAAUACCGGAUAAUAUAUUGAACCGCAUGGUUCAAUAGUGAAAGACGGUUUUGCUGUCACUUAUAGAUGGAUCCGCGCCGCAUUAGCUAGUUGGUAAGGUAACGGCUUACCAAGGCGACGAUGCGUAGCCGACCUGAGAGGGUGAUCGGCCACACUGGAACUGAGACACGGUCCAGACUCCUACGGGAGGCAGCAGUAGGGAAUCUUCCGCAAUGGGCGAAAGCCUGACGGAGCAACGCCGCGUGAGUGAUGAAGGUCUUCGGAUCGUAAAACUCUGUUAUUAGGGAAGAACAAAUGUGUAAGUAACUAUGCACGUCUUGACGGUACCUAAUCAGGAAGCCACGGCUAACUACGUG
rnacentral:rRNA from 1 species